GAAUUUUGGCCAAUGGGGGCAACCCUGAUCCAGCCAUCCCGCGUGUGCGAUGAAGGCCUUCGGGUUGUAAAGCACUUUUCGCAGGGAAGAACAGGCCCUGGCUAAUACCUGGACCUGCUGACGGUACCUGCAGAAUACGCACCGGCUAACUCAGUUCCAGCAGCCCCGGUAAUACGUAGGGUGCAAGCGUUAAUCGGAAUUACGGGGCGUAAAGCGUGCGCAGGCGGUUCGGCAAGAAGGAUGUGAAAUCCCAGGGCUUAACCUUGGAACUGCAUUCUUAACUGCCGGGGUAGAGUAGGUCAGAGGGGGGUAGAAUCCCGCGUGUAGCAGUGAAAUGCGUAGAGAUGCGGAGGAAUACCGAUGGCAAAGGCAGCCCCCUGGGAUAAUACUGACGCUCAUGCACGAAAGCGUGGGGAGCAAAC
rnacentral:rRNA from 1 species